GGGGAAUUUUGGACAAUGGGGGGCAACCCUGAUCCAGCCAUUCCGCGUGAGUGAAGAAGGCCUCGGGUUGGUAAAGCUCUUUCGGUCAGGAACGAAACGGUGAGGGUUAAUA
rnacentral:rRNA from 1 species